UACGAAGGGGGCUAGCGUUGCUCGGAAUUACUGGGCGUAAAGGGCGCGUAGGCGGACAUUUAAGUCAGGGGUGAAAUCCCAGAGCUCAACUCUGGAACUGCCUUUGAUACUGGGUGUCUUGAGUGUGAUAGAGGUAUGUGGAACUCCGAGUGUAGAGGUGAAAUUCGUAGAUAUUCGGAAGAACACCAGUGGCGAAGGCGACAUACUGGACCAUUACUGACGCUGAGGCUCGAAAGCGUGGGGAGCAAACAGG
rnacentral:rRNA from 1 species